CACGUAGGCGGCCUGGUAAGUCAGAUGUGAAAGCCCGGGGCUUAACCCCGGAAGUGCAUUUGAUACUGCUAGGCUUGAGUAUGGGAGAGGGAAGUGGAAUUCCUGGUGUAGAGGUGAAAUUCGUAGAUAUCAGGAGGAACACCGGUGGCGAAGGCGACUUCCUGGACCAAUACUGACGCUGAGGUGCGAAGGCGUGGGUAGCAAACA
rnacentral:rRNA from 1 species